rnacentral:rRNA from 1 species
AGUGAACGCUGGCGGCGUGCUUAACACAUGCAAGUCGAACGAGCACGGAUUAUAGCUUGCUAUAAUUGUCAGCUAAGUGGCGCACGGGUGAGUAAUGUAUAGGUAAUAUGCCUCUUACUAAGGGAUAACAAAUGGAAACGUUUGCUAAUACCUUAUACUCCUUAUUAACAUAAGUUAAUAAGGGAAAGAUUUAUUGGUAAGAGAUUAGCCUGUAUUGUAUCAGUUAGUUGGUGGGGUAAUGGCUUACCAAGACUAUGACACAUAACUGGUUUGAGAGGAUGAUCAGUCACACUGGAACUGAGACACGGUCCAGACUCCUACGGGAGGCAGCAGUGGGGAAUAUUGCACAAUGGACGGAAGUCUGAUGCAGCAACGCCGCGUGGAGGAUGACACAUUUCGGUGCGUAAACUCCUUUUAUAUGAGAAGAUAAUGACGGUAUUAUAUGAAUAAGCACCGGCUAACUCCGUGCCAGCCGCCGCUGUAA